GUGUCAGCCGCCGCGGUAAUACAGAGGUCCCAAGCGUUGUUCGGAUUCACUGGGCGUAAAGGGUGCGUAGGUGGUCGGGUAAGUCUGAUGUGAAAUCUCUGGGCUCAACCCAGAAAUGGCAUUGGAUACUAUUCGGCUCGAGGAGUGGAGGGCGGACUGGAAUACUUGGUGUAGCAGUGAAAUGCGUAGAUAUCAAGUGGAACACCAGUGGCGAAGGCGAGUCCCUGGACACUUCCUGACACUGAGGCACGAAAGCUAGGGGAGCAAACAGGAUUAGAAACCCUGGUAGUCC
rnacentral:rRNA from 1 species